AUGAUGAUUCUAGAUGUGUACAGUUUAUGGUUUUCAACUGAAUUAACCAUGAGGAUAAUUCUAGGGCGGUCUGAUUUG